GCACCCUGACGCAGCGACGCCGCGUGAGCGAAGAAGGCCUUCGGGUUGUAAAGCUCUGUCUGGGGGGAAGAUAGUGACGGUACCCCCGGAGGAAGCCCCGGCUAACUACGUGCCAGCAGCCGCGGUAAUA
rnacentral:rRNA from 1 species